rnacentral:pre_miRNA from 1 species
UAAGUACUCCCUCCGUCCGAAAAUACUUGUCAUCAAAAUGGACAAAAAUGGAUGUAUCUAGAACUAAAAUACAUCUUUUUUUAUUCAUUUUGAUGACAAGUAUUUCCAGACGGAGGAAGUACAUG